GUUUUAAUAAUUUAAUUUAAAAUAAUAGUUUUGUAAACUAAAUAUAGAAAAAAUUCUUUAAAACA
rnacentral:tRNA from 1 species